rnacentral:rRNA from 1 species
GAUGAACGCUCGCGGCGUGCUUAACACAUGCAAGUCGAACGGUGAACACGGAGCUUGCUCUGUGGGAUCAGUGGCGAACGGGUGAGUAACACGUGAGCAACCUGCCCCUGACUCUGGGAUAAGCGCUGGAAACGGCGUCUAAUACUGGAUAUGUGACGUGACCGCAUGGUCUGCGUUUGGAAAGAUUUUUCGGUUGGGGAUGGGCUCGCGGCCUAUCAGCUUGUUGGUGAGGUAAUGGCUCACCAAGGCGUCGACGGGUAGCCGGCCUGAGAGGGUGACCGGCCACACUGGGACUGAGACACGGCCCAGACUCCUACGGGAGGCAGCAGUGGGGAAUAUUGCACAAUGGGCGCAAGCCUGAUGCAGCAACGCCGCGUGAGGGAUGACGGCCUUCGGGUUGUAAACCUCUUUUAGCAGGGAAGAAGCGAAAGUGACGGUACCUGCAGAAAAAGCGCCGGCUAACUACGUG